CACGAACGCUGGCGGCGUGCCUAAUACAUGCAAGUCGAGCGAAGUGGAGAGAGCUUGCUCUCAAAACUUAGCGGCGAACGGGUGAGUAACACGUGGGCAACCUGCCUGACAGACUGGGAUAACUUGGGGAAACUCAAGCUAAUACCGGAUAGGAUCGCGAACCGCAUGGAUUGCGAUGGAAAGUCUGAACGACACUGUCAGAUGGGCCCGCGGCGCAGUAGCUAGUUGGUGGGGUAAUGGCCUACCAAGGCGACGAUGCGUAGCCGACCUGAGAGGGUGACCGGCCACACUGGGACUGGGACACGGCCCAGACUCCUACGGGAGGCAGCAGUAGGGAAUCUUCCACAAUGGGCGAAAGCCUGAUGGAGCAACGCCGCGUGAGUGAUGAAGGUUUUCGGAUCGUAAAACUCUGUUGUUAGGGAAGAACACCCGGGAGAGGAUCCCGGUUUGACGGUACCUAACGAGGAAGCCCCGGCUAACUACGUGCCAGCCGCCGCCGUAAUAC
rnacentral:rRNA from 1 species